rnacentral:rRNA from 1 species
UACGUAGGGGGCAAGCGUUGUCCGGAAUCAUUGGGCGUAAAGCGCGUGUAGGCGGCCCGGUAAGUCCGCUGUGAAAGUCGGGGGCUCAACCCUCGAAUGCCGGUGGAUACUGUCGGGCUAGAGUGCGGAAGAGGCGAGUGGAAUUCCUAGUGUAGAGGUGAAAUUCGUAGAUAUUAGGAAGAACACCAGUGGCGAAGGCGGCUCACUGGCCCGGUACUGACGCUGAGGCGCGAAAGCGUGGGGAGCAAACAGG